rnacentral:tRNA from 1 species
UAAUAAAGUAAGCUAAAUAAGCUAGUGGGUUCAUACCCCAAAAAUGAAUUUUCUCCUUUAUUAA